ensembl:ncRNA R02D5.21 ncRNA
CCCUUAUCAGCUAGUCGGAUCUCCGCGCAACACAAUGAACACCGCGCAAAAAACACUGUGAAGCAGCAGCAGCAGGGCGCGGAGAAAAUGAAACGACGAACAAAAGUGCGUGCGCCGCCGCGAUUUUCCUACUGGUGUUCUCCGUUCUUGUGUUGAAGAUAUGAAGAACGGUGAUGGUGGUAUUG